rnacentral:rRNA from 1 species
GACGAACGCUGGCGGCGUGCCUAAUACAUGCAAGUAGAACGCUGAAGGAGGAGCUUGCUCUUCUGGAUGAGUUGCGAACGGGUGAGUAACGCGUAGGUAACCUGCCUGGUAGCGGGGGAUAACUAUUGGAAACGAUAGCUAAUACCGCAUAAGAGUAGAUGUUGCAUGACAUUUACUUAAAAGGUGCAAUUGCAUCACUACCAGAUGGACCUGCGUUGUAUUAGCUAGUUGGUGGGGUAACGGCUUACCAAGGCGACGAUACAUAGCCGACCUGAGAGGGGGAUCGGCCACACUGGGACUGAGACACGGCCCAGACUCCUACGGGAGGCAGCAGUAGGGAAUCUUCGGCAAUGGACGGAAGUCUGACCGAGCAACGCCGCGUGAGUGAAGAAGGGUUUCGGGUCGUAAAGCUCUGUUGUAAGAGAAGAACGAGUGUGAGAGUGGAAAGUUCACACUGUGACGGUAUCUUACCAGAAAGGGACGGCUAACUACGUG